GGAGCGGCCGGGGCCCGGUGGCCCGUCCGGUCUUCAAAACCGGGAAGCCGCGGCAGCCCCGCGGUUGGGAGGUUCGACUCCUUCGCCGCUCCGC
rnacentral:tRNA from 1 species